GAAUAUUAGUCAAAAUGCUGUCACCCGUGACCAAUUAUGGAUCUAUAAAAGUGAAAUCUAAUUUCAUAAAUAAUUCACUUAAUGCACGCAAUAAAUAUGUUGUCUAGAUGAAAUAGCAGUGAGUAAAGCAUGUGACCCAGCUCUCUGUAGACCCACUGCUGUUCACACAUCAGAGCUCCUCUAACUGUGUGUGACAGGAUUUGUAUAGAGGAAGGGGCUUUGCAUACCUGUCCUGCCUCACUGCUCCACACACUUUAAGGCCCCCAGCACUGAUUGGUGACUGUCCAGUCCUUUCACAGACACUGACACAGGCAGCAUUAUGAUGAUGUCAAACCUUCUACUGCUGGUGAUGCUGGGACUCCUUGUACAAGAAUCGAUGGCAGAUAUAGAGCUGACUCAGGAUCCAGCAGCUCAGUCUGUUCAGCUGGGAGACACUGUCUCUAUCAGCUGUACAGCCAGUCAGAGUGUUUACAAAAACUCCAACGGCGAGCACCUCUACUGGUAUCUGCAGAAACCUGGUCAGGCUCCUAAACUUCUGAUUUAUUUUGCCACAACUCGCCAGUCUGGGAUUCCUGAUCGUUUCAGUGGGAGUGGAUCUGGGAAUCAGUUUACACUGAAAAUCACUGGAGUCCAGGCUGAAGAUGCAGGAGAUUAUUACUGUCAGAGUUACCACAGUGGUGGUGUGUUCACACAGUGAUACAGAGCCAUACAAAAACCUCCCUCAGUCAGACUGCACAGAGACUGCACUGCUGCAGCUGGGACCUACUGCAGGUGCUGAGGGGGGAGCCACUCACCCGAGACAUUGAGGGGCUUUGCUCGAAAACAUUGAGCUUCA